rnacentral:lncRNA from 1 species
GGAAUUGAAGAAUUAUAACAUAACAAUGAAAACAAAAAAUUAAAAAGGAAUAAGUUACCGGUAUCACUAAUUUGAAGAAGCUUGAUGAGAGAAUUGUAAUCGGCUCGAGCUUUUGCGAAAGGAAUGACCAUGGAGAGGAAAAGGAGAGUAUGAAAAGUUAAUCCACUAAAGGAUUGAAAGAAGUUGGGAAUGAUAAGAUGUUGUAUUGAAAGGAAAGUGAGGAGUGAAGUAUAGCAAAGUGGUUGGAGAAAAAGAGAGAGAGAGAGAAAGUGAGUUUUUUCCCCUUCACAUCCAUAACUUCAUCCUCGACCUCCAUAAUUAUCUGAAUAUCUUUUCAUUUUGCAUUGUUGUAUGUGAGUUAAUAAUAUAAUAAUAAUAGGUUUCCUUUCCACCAAUCAAUUAAAUGAAUUUCGCUGUACAUACUUGCACCACUCCUUUUCGAAAUUCACUUUGCAACUUUGCAUUUUUUUACUGCUUUUGUUACUUUCUUCUUCUUCUUUGUUUCCUAUGUGCUUGUGUGCAUUUCAGUAGUGGUUUGAUCAUGGUGUCAGUAGUGGUUUUAAUGGUGGUGUUGUGUCAUGAUGUGUUGUUGUUAUUCAUUGAGAGACUGACAUUCGAGAUAAGAUUUAAGUUUGAAAUCCUUAACCGCACUUCGAAAUACGACUAAG